UCUUAUCCAGAAUUUGCUAUUGCGAUCGGAAGGUGUACUUGACCAUGCAGGAUACAAGGUGUCACGAUGAUUUGAUGAGCUUGACCACGUCAUCCCUGCCAAUGCCGAUUAGCUCAGCCUUGGUGGCGGCAGGCUCCUGGACCACCUCAAGCAGGCGUCUGCUGCGUCGGUAGACAUGUGAGGUAUGCUCUUUGGUACCAGCUCUCCAUUCUCGACAUCCGGCUGUGUCUGUUCCUCAUAUUGUCUCCAAAUACCGGUGCGAAAAGGCUUUCUUCUAGAUCUGCUCUUAUGGUUCUCCAAAUACAAUACAUUCAAUGAUAUUGUAGUUUUUGUGGGCUUGUUCUUUAUAAGAAAUAAUUGUACACAUAGCACUAUAGUUAGAAGCAGGUCUACGAAGGCAUGGCUUCAAAAUUCCAUACCUGUUUUGUUCCUUUUCCUUUCCAUAUCUAUGGUUUUCAUACUAAUUUAUGUUUUCCCCUCAAGGGAGGACAUGUGUAUUUGAGAGAGAGUUGUGAAAAAGAGGGGACUGGACUAAGAGGAAGGAGUGGAAUCACAUGAUGUGCAUUGCAUUUCUGUCUGUGUGCAAUCCAGUUAUAUACUGAUAAGGCUUUAUACAAUAAUAAGCUCCCUAUCUGUUGAACGUUACAAUUAGUACAGAGGCACAAGUCAUUUUUGACAAUUGAAGAUCAAACAAACAAUACUGCAGAAUUAUGCCAAUAUAUAAGUUUUUGAUGUACAUUGAACUUGUCGGUUUUACUGUCACCUUUCAUUUUGGAGACAUAGCUAACUAUUUUCUCCACUAUUUGGCAUUUUCCCGUGUUCAUCUUAACAUUUUGGUUUUUUAUGAUACAAAUGGCUGAUGUUAGUUUUGGUAUAUGUGGUUAAGAAGUUUGUCAAGUAGUGAUGACCUCAGAUUUGUUAUGGGGCAGUUUUUUUAAUAGAUCGCUUCUUGCGCACAAGCACUGGAACCAUCGGUCUAUGACAUACAUGAUUCUCUAUAACUUCUACUACAAUGAUUUCUUUGUGUUAAUGCUCUUCUGGUGCGCAUUCCCUCCUCUGUGUGUUUCUCAUAUGAUGUAAGCUAAGUAUAUCUGUGUCACCUUUGUUACUUGUCACCUACAAUUUGACUAUCCAAAUGUAUGAAUAUACGGAAGCAUCAUCCCGCACUCCCUUUUGGCCUUUUUGGACCUCUUUUAAUGUACGCUGGUCUAAUUAAGUUCUUAAUGAAUUGAUUUAGGCAUACCACAUAUUAUGUAACUAUUGUGCUCAUAGAUUAGAGUACUGCUUUCUAUUCCAUUAUCUGCACAUCAGUUCCCACAGUAGUGGUUGAUAUUCUAGAGGACUUACUCAUAAUAGUCAUAAUACCCUUCUUUAUUGUCUGAGACUAUUGAGGCAAAGCUUCAAAAUGAGGGCUACAACAUGGCACUCUUCUGAAACAUAAUGGUAGAUACCUUGUAACAAAGCCUUGUCCUUUCCUGUGUACUUUUCUUCACAUAUAAUAUCAGUACGAUGGACAUUUGGAGUAUGGGAUUCUUGAUACGUCACCAUUUGACAAAAAGAAUUAGAAUAUGUGAUAUCGACAAUGUAAGCCUUUUAAUAUUUAGCACUUACAUAUUUGUUUUCUCACUAAUAUUUGAAUGCAUGUACCUUUGCAUUAUGCAGGUUCACCUGAUUAUUUGAGUUAACCUGAUUAUUGUCACAAGCUGUGUCAGAUGUUCUACGAGAUGGUCCGGUGGUCCUGUUUAGUUCUAUUUCAUGUAGCAGUCUUCUUUGUUAGUAAUGUUCCAUGUUUCUGUCUACAUGUACGUUCAUUAAUUUUCUGGUUUGAACCCCCUUAAUUAGUAAGGUGAGCUCACAAGCUUGGGUCCUAAACCACAAGAACUUGAGAAAGUCAUCAUACAUUCCUUCUGCAGGACACUAGCAAGGAUAAAAGUACCCUUGGUGGUUUCUCUGUUCUUAGGAGACAUGCUGAAGAUUGUCUUCCUCUGAUAGGUUCGACUGUUGCCGCAACAAUCAUCUACCUACAUAAAUGAAAAAAAUAUUGGAAGUGACUCUUAUGAACAUACUUGCAUUCUUUCUCAAAUUUAAGAUAACUAUGUGUGGUGACCAUCAGUAUUUGAUUGUUAUGCUACUAAUAACAAUCCUAACCUCAAGGUUUUAACUCGCUGAGA